UGGGGAAUUUUGGACAAUGGGCGCAAGCCUGAUCCAGCAAUGCCGCGUGCAGGAUGAAGGCCUUCGGGUUGUAAACUGCUUUUGUACGGAACGAAAAGCCCUGGGUUAAUACCCUGGGGUCAUGACGGUACCGUAAGAAUAAGCACCGGCUAACUACGUGCCAGCAGCCGCGGUAAUACGUAGGGUGCGAGCGUUAAUCGGAAUUACUGGGCGUAAAGCGUGCGCAGGCGGUUUUGUAAGACAGAGGUGAAAUCCCCGGGCUCAACCUGGGAACUGCCUUUGUGACUGCAAGGCUAGAGUACGGCAGAGGGGGAUGGAAUUCCGCGUGUAGCAGUGAAAUGCGUAGAUAUGCGGAGGAACACCGAUGGCGAAGGCAAUCCCCUGGGCCUGUACUGACGCUCAUGCACGAAAGCGUGGGGAGCAAACAGGAUUAGGUACCCUGGUAGUCCACGCCCUAAACGAUGUCAACUGGUUGUUGGGCCUUAACUGACUCAGUAACGGAGCUAACGCGUGAAGUUGACCGCCUGGGGAGUACGCCGCAAGGUUGAAACUUAAAGGAAUUGACGGGGUCAUAGCUGUUUCCU
rnacentral:rRNA from 1 species